rnacentral:tRNA from 1 species
CAGCGGUAGUUCAGUUGGUUAGAAUACCGGCCUGUCACGCCGGGGGUCGCGGGUUCGAGCCCCGUCCGCUGA